rnacentral:rRNA from 1 species
GAUGAACGCUGGCGGCGUGCCUAACACAUGCAAGUCGAGCGAGGGUUUGCUCAGUAUUGAGUAUUCUAAGACUAGAAUGUUCAAUUCUGAGCAAAACCAAGCGGCGGACGGGUGAGUAACGCGUGGGUAACCUGCCCUAUACACAUGGAUAACAUACUGAAAAGUUUACUAAUACAUGAUAAUAUAUAUCUGCGGCAUCGCAGAUAUAUCAAAGUGUUAGCGGUAUAGGAUGGACCCGCGUCUGAUUAGCUAGUUGGUGAGAUAACUGCCCACCAAGGCGACGAUCAGUAGCCGACCUGAGAGGGUGAUCGGCCACAUUGGAACUGAGACACGGUCCAAACUCCUACGGGAGGCAGCAGUGGGGAAUAUUGCACAAUGGGCGAAAGCCUGAUGCAGCAACGCCGCGUGAACGAUGAAGGUCUUCGGAUCGUAAAGUUCUGUUGCAGGGGAAGAUAAUGACGGUACCCUG